AGGACGAACGCUGGCGGCGUGCCUAAAACAUGCAAGUCGAACGAGGUCCAUCCAGUGGCAACACUGGGGAAGACCUAGUGGCGAACGGGUGAGUAACACGUGAGGAACCUGCCCCGAAGACCGGGAUAACCCUCCGAAAGGAGAGCUAAUACCGGAUACCCCCAUCCGAAUCGCAUGGUUUGGUGAGGAAAUGGAUUCCGCUUCGGGAGGGCCUCGCGGCCUAUCAGCUUGUUGGUGGGGUAAUGGCCUACCAAGGCAUCGACGGGUAGCUGGUCUGAGAGGACGAUCAGCCACACUGGGACUGAGACACGGCCCAGACUCUACGGGAGCAGCAGUUAGGAAUCUUGCGCAAUGGGCGAAAGCCUGACGCAGCAACGCCGCGUGGGGACGAAAGGGCUCUCGGGUUGUAAAACCCCUUUCAGUGGGACGAAUCAAGAGGUACCCACAGAAGAAGCCCGCCAACACGUGCCAGCAGCCGC
rnacentral:rRNA from 1 species